GAAAGAAAUAAAAGAUAGAAAAAGGGAAUAGAAACAGAAUAGGCAAACGAAACAGAGCAGGAAAGAAGGAAAGGAAAGAAAAGAAAAAAAGGGAAGGAAAGGAAGAAAAUUUGGGAUUUCAAGAUUUCAAGCUUAAUUGCUAAUGUCGUGCAAGAGUCAUUGUCCGAUAAAGGAAAGGAGAAGGUGAACAAGGAGUGACUCGAGAAAAUUUACGGUUAGUAGAAAGCCAGUGUCUGGUUCAGCAUCCAGAGCAAUCCCGACCUCAGAUAAAUUUUAGUGAUGUGCCUUUCUUUUGAUACUGUGGCAUGUAUUUAGGUAAUGUAUUAAUUAAAGUAUGCUAUGUAUGUUAUUUAUUUGUGAAUUAGUGAUAAGUUAUCCGAUAAUGUCCGGUAAUGCUCCGUAACCCAAUUCCGGUGACGGAUACGGGUUGGGGGUGUUACAAAUAUAAUAUUUUUUGAAGUUAAUUUUCAAGUCAGGUAAUUGGCCUAAUGGGUAAUUGAACUUGAAAAUUGGACCUGAGAUCGUAAAUUGGGCCCGGGAGCCCAAAACUGAGACUAAGACCCAAAAAUUGAUCGAACCAAGCCCGGUAUGUGAAACCGGACCGACGAUCCAACCACUGGCUAGACCGGACCACUCGGGUCAUCAUUGACUCGGAUCGAAUUGGUAGCAAUCGAACCAGCUCUGGGUGCCGUAAAAGUGUUGCACCUGCAUCACCAGAUACGAUGGUGCCAAUGGCUGCAACGGCAGCAUCCCAGUGGCCACCGGUGAUUGGUCGUCGGUGGUUGAGCAAUGGAAGAGUUACACUCCUACUGAGACUUUACUAGAGAAUCUGAAUUCAGAUUAAUUAUUCUAAAAAUAAUAUUAUUUUAAUAGUUUAAUAUUAGAUUUAAUUUAAUACUUAUCUUGAUAGUAUUUUAUUAAUUUAAUAUUAAUUUAAUUUAAUGUUAAGAUAAGCAUUCUAUUAUUUUAAUAAGAUUUACUAUUAAAUUUAGUUUAA